rnacentral:lncRNA from 1 species
GCCGGGGCACAGCGGCAGCGGUGGGCACUGGCCAGGGAGCAGUGGGCACGGUGGUUGCCGGUCAGGAAUCAAUGCCGGUGAUGGGGGAGAAGGAAAGCAGGGGUGGUCGGCGCCGGGAAGCAAAUGUUCCUUCUGGGUUGAGAAGGAAGCUUCGCCCUCUCAUAAUUUUUUUUUUUUUAAUGAUAGCUACGUUUGCAGCAAGAACGCCAAGGAUCGCUAGCUAGGAAGCAGUGGC